ACUGCCACCCUCUCCCAGGUCUAGAGAGGGGUACCCACGGUGGAGGGAGGUGGGAGGCCGAGACGGCCCCGGGGGUCGGCGGAGACCCAGCGGGAGCAGGGGGAAAUCGGAAGAGCUGGGGGCAUGGAGCGGGCGAGUUUGGAGCGGAAUGAGCCGGGAGCCCUACGUUGUGGAAGGAAGACAACAGUAUAGGACCAUCAGCAGGACCGGACAGAGAGGGCCCUGGCUGUCCUGGAACUUGUAGACCAGGCUGGCCUUGAACUCAGAAAUCCGCCUGCCUCUGACUCCCGAGUGCUGAGAUUAAAGGUGUGCACCACCACACCCGACAAGGAAGCCUGUUUUAAGAAGUGAUUCCAUGGAGGAGUUCUGCGGCGGCUCAGGGCUUGACUAAACAGUGGACCUCAGACAAGAGAGGCUAAACCAGGCUGCAGGUGACAGGAAGAAUUGAAUAAACUGAAAGCAAAGGGCAGCCUUCUAAUUACGCUUCGUGGCUAUGUGGACAACCUGGAGAAGUCUGGAAACCUUUCCUCCUCCAUUUUACUACUUGAGGGAGCAGUGGGUGGGAUACUAGAAGCCAGAAGCCCGAAGCCAGCAGUAGAGCUCUGACUGGCUUGUAUGCCUAGAAAGGAAGGGCUCUUCUUUCGCCUCACGGGCACAAAUGGGACCCACGAGCGCCGAUUUCAGACUAUUCUGAUCCCUUCAAAAAGAAAGUUAGGAGUCCAGGCUACUGUGAGUGAAUUUGAUUCUAAUUGUUUCAGAGAAUAUGGAAUAAAAUAUCUCAUUUGCA
rnacentral:lncRNA from 1 species